CUCGCGUUCCCGCGCGAAGCCGAAAACCCUUUGGCGCUCUGCGCGCGAUCGCGCCCCUCCCCUCCACGCCCCCGCCCGCCCUUUUCUUCCCCACCCGUCUCCGUUCCCCGCCAUCCACAUCCGACAUUCCUCCCCCAAGUUCUCUCCCAUCCCCAAAGUAUCAUCCAAUUUCCCUCCCCGCUAGCCACAAUGCCGACUCUUCGCAGCGCGACGGCGAACGCGUCCCCCGUGGCCACCCCAUCCCCUGCCGCGGCGAGCACGCCGCGCAGCGUCAAGCGCCGGCUGACGCCAGGCCGCGCCGGCGAGUCGCCCAAAGCGUCGCGGCACACCUCCCCUCACCGAUCCCCUCACGCCGGCACCGGAACUGUAUGCAUUCCGAAGCUGCUCUCGGCGUCGCCCAAGUCCUCCAGGAAGCGUCUCUACGGCGACCUUGUCGCAGCCGAGAAGCCCAAGUGGAAUCCCCGAGAUGCCGCGCAGAUUAGGGCUGUCAAGGAGGCGCUGCACGUGGCAACAGUGCCAUCGUCUGAAUUGGUUUGCCGGGAUAACGAGCUCAGGCGUGUCCUUGAGUUCUGCAAGGUGUGCGUCCAACAGGAGAAGGCUGGUAGUCUCUAUGUCUGCGGGUGCCCUGGCACAGGGAAGACAUUAUCUAUUAACAAGGUCAAGGAUAGCUUGGUGUGUUGGGCAGAUGAGAUGGGAAUGGAGACACCUGAUGCCUUAGCAAUCAAUUGUACAAACCUAGCAAACACCUCAGAGAUUUUUGGCAAGAUACUAGGCAAAUUGCAGAACCAAAAGAAGGGAAGCAGCAAAUUGUUGCCACUUCAGCAACUUCAGAGCAUGUUUUCCAACAAGGAUUUAGCUCCAAGAAGAAUGAUGUUGGUUAUUGUGGAUGAGAUGGACUACUUAAUAACAAGAGACCGUGCUGUGCUACAUGACCUUUUCAUGCUUACGACUUAUCCAUUCUCUAGAUGCAUACUAAUAGGAAUUGCUAAUGCCAUAGAUUUAGCAGACCGGUUUCUUCCAAAGCUUGAAUCCUUAAAUUGCAAGCCUCUUGUUGUGACUUUUCGAGCAUAUUCCAAAGAUCAAAUAACUGACAUAGUUAAGCAUAGGCUAAAGGUUCUUGAGUAUGAUGUAUUUGAACCACUAGCUCUGGAGUUCUGUGCUAGAAAAGUGGCGGCAGCCUCUGGUGACAUGAGAAAAGCUCUAGGCGUAUGCAGGAGUGCUGUGGAGGUUCUUGAAGCAAGGCUACAUGAUUCGCCUGAUCAAGAAUUAGGAAUAGUGACAUUUGACCAUAUGGAUAUGGCUUUGUCAAAAGCAUUCAAGUCUGCUGUCGUAGAUAGCAUACUGUGUCUUCCCCAGCACCAACAGAUGGUGCUGUGUGCGUUGGCAAAUACUUUUCAGCAUUGCAAGAAAAAAGCAACUACUCUAGGAGAGCUCAACAAAUCAUACAUUGAGAUUUGUAGAUCAACCCAAGUUCCAGCAGUUGGAAUGCUUGAAUUUUCUAACAUGUGUAUGGUUUUGAGCGAUCAGGGGUUCAUGAAACUAGGGCAGUCCAAGGAAGAUAAGCUUAGGAGAGUAACACUUCAGAUUGAUAGUUCAGAUAUCACAUUUGCUUUUAAGGGAAAUCGCUUCUUUCAAAAAUGUCUGGAGCAGCCAAGAUGCUAACUAGACCCAUAGCAGAGAGUAGAUCAAUACACUUACUGUUGUAAUACAUUACAGUAUUAGUUUAUUGACAUUAUCAAGUACCAGCAAUUUCAACCCCUGGAUGUGCUGCUCAGGUGGUUUCAUUCAACAUGGUCAAACGUACCUUGGUUACAUCAUGAAGCUCUUUCUUGCAGUGCAGGGAUAAGUACGUGGGACGAGUUAUGAUAGUAUUAUGUGACACAAUUCUCCCAAAGAUGGCUGAGUGUUGUUAUGAUUUCUCAAUUUUUGGUUCUUCCAGAACUGAUUGAUCAUGUAGCUAAACAUUUAACAUACAAGAACAUUUGUUUACACAUUUCUUGCCUAAAGGCUAAAUCAGUAAUGAGAAGCUGCACUAAUUUAAUGUGUCUGCCAGAUCAAUUGCAUGCUUCUGAUACUUUAUACAGUGACAGUG